rnacentral:rRNA from 1 species
CCGUUCAAUACUGCGGGACUUGAGGGCAGAAGAGGGGGGUGGAAUUGCUGGUGUAGUGGUGAAAUGCGUAGAUAUCAGCAGGAACACCUGUGGCGAAAGCGGCCCCCUGGUCUGCUCCUGACACUCAGACGCGAAAGCUAGGGGAGUGAACGGGAUUAGAAACCCCGGUAAUCCUAGCCGUAAACGAUGGAUGCUAGGUGUGGGUGGUAUUGACCCCAUCCGUGCCGAAGCCAACGCGUUAAGCAUCCCGCCUGGGGACUACGGCCGCAAGGUUAAAACUCAAAGGAAUUGACGGGGACCCGCACAAGCAGCGGAGCGUGUGGUUUAAUUCGAUGCUACACGAAGAACCUUACCCAGGUUUGACAUACAGGUAGUAGUGAAGCGAAAGCGGAACGAUCCUUCGGGAAGCCUGAACAGGUGCUGCAUGGCUGUCGUCAGCUCGUGCCGUGAGGUGUUUGGUUAAGUCCACUAACGAGCGCAACCCCUGUCGUCAGUUACAUGUGUCUGGCGAGACUGCCGGUCUUAAACCGGAGGAAGGUGGGGAUGACGUCAAGUCAGCAUGGCCUUUAUAUCUGGG